rnacentral:rRNA from 1 species
GACGAACGCUGGCGGCGUGCUUAACACAUGCAAGUCGAACGGAAAGGCCCUGCUUUUGUGGGGUGCUCGAGUGGCGAACGGGUGAGUAACACGUGAGUAACCUGCCCUUGACUUUGGGAUAACUUCAGGAAACUGGGGCUAAUACCGGAUAGGAGCUCCUGCUGCAUGGUGGGGGUUGGAAAGUUUCGGCGGUUGGGGAUGGACUCGCGGCUUAUCAGCUUGUUGGUGGGGUAGUGGCUUACCAAGGCUUUGACGGGUAGCCGGCCUGGGAGGGUGACCGGCCACAUUGGGACUGAGAUACGGCCCAGACUCCUACGGGAGGCAGCGGGGGGAAGUAUUGCACAAUGGGCGGAAGCCUGAUACAGCAACGCCGCGUGCGGGAUGACGGCCUUCGGGUUGUAAACCGCUUUCGCCUGUGACGAAGCGUGAGUGACGGUAAUGGGUAAAGAAGCACCGGCUAACUACGUG